ACAUACGACCAUAGGGUGUGGAAAACAGGGCUUCCCGUCCGCUCAGCCGUACUUAAGCCACACGCCGGUAGGUUAGUAGUUGGGUGGGUGACCACCAGCGAAUCCCUACUGUUGUAUGUU
rnacentral:rRNA from 1 species